GGCUGAAACUCGCCUACAUGAAGCUGGAGUUACUAGUAAUCGCAGAUCAGAAUGCUGCGGUGAAUGCGUUCCCGGGUCUUGUACACACCGCCCGUCACACCACGGAAGUUGGGGGCGCCCGAAGCCACUUAGCUAACCCUUUGGGAAGCGAGUGUCGAAGGUGAAAUCAAUAACUGGGGUGAAGUCGUAACAAGGUAAC
rnacentral:rRNA from 1 species